GAUGAACGCUGGCGGCGUGCCUAAUACAUGCAAGUCGAGCGAACAGACGAGGAGCUUGCUCCUCUGACAUUAGCGGCGGAGGGGUGAGUAACACGUGGAUAACAUACCUAUAAGACUGGGAUAACUUCGGGAAACCGGAGCGAAUACAGGAUAAUAUAUUGAACUGCAUGGGUAAAUAGUGAAAAACGGGUUUGUUGUCACUUAUAGAUGGAUCCGCGCCGCAUUAGCUAGUUGGUAAGGUAACGGCUCACCAAGGCGACGAUGCAUAGCCGACCUGAGAGGGUGAUCGGCCACACUGGGACUGAGACACGGCCCAGACUCCUACGGGAGGCAGCAGUAGGGAAUCUUCCGCAAUGGACGAAAGUCUGACGGAGCAACGCCGCGUGAGUGAAGAAGGUUUUCGGAUCGUAAAACUCUGUUGUAAGGGAAGAACAAGUAUGUUAGUAGCUGUACGUAUCUUGACGGUACCUAAUCAGAAAGCCACGGCUAACUACGUG
rnacentral:rRNA from 1 species